AUUGAACGCUGGCGGCAGGCCUAACACAUGCAAGUCGAGCGGCAGCACGGGUACUUGUACCUGGUGGCGAGCGGCGGACGGGUGAGUAAUGCCUAGGAAUCUGCCUAGUAGUGGGGGAUAACGUCCGGAAACGGGCGCUAAUACCGCAUACGUCCUACGGGAGAAAGUGGGGGAUCUUCGGACCUCACGCUAUUAGAUGAGCCUAGGUCGGAUUAGCUAGUUGGUGAGGUAAUGGCUCACCAAGGCGACGAUCCGUAACUGGUCUGAGAGGAUGAUCAGUCACACUGGAACUGAGACACGGUCCAGACUCCUACGGGAGGCAGCAGUGGGGAAUAUUGGACAAUGGGCGAAAGCCUGAUCCAGCCAUGCCGCGUGUGUGAAGAAGGUCUUCGGAUUGUAAAGCACUUUAAGUUGGGAGGAAGGGCAGUAAGUUAAUACCUUGCUGUUUUGACGUUACUCGCAGAAUAAGCACCGGCUAACUCUGUGCCAGCCGCCGCGGUAACAC
rnacentral:rRNA from 1 species